CAGUAGACUGGGGACCAUCCAGAGGGGGCUCAGCCACUGCUGUAUCAUAUGUUUAUCUGCUUUUUCUUUAUGAUGUAAGGGAAAAUUGAGUAGGCCCAAACUUUGACCAAGAUAACUUUGAUUAAAAUAACUGUGUACAAGGGGCAGGAGAAGAGAAAGAAUGGUAAAUUUAAGCAGAACAAUUUCUAAUAGUCAGUCUUAUGAAAUAUAGCUGUGACUUGCGGUUAACGCUUUCCUAACACUAGCAAAGAACAAACUGUGAAUAACAGGAAAAAGCUUGUUUUGAUGUAUUCCUAAGAAGGAAAAUGUUAAUAAGGAAGUGUGUGUAAUUGAUUGUGGCUUUAAGCUAUAUAGCCUUUUGUAUUCCCUUUCGGGGGGGCCGGCAGCUUGGCUGUCGUUCCUCUGCAUGCUUGUAAUAAAGUGUGCCUCAGGCUGUUCUGAUCCAAACACAAUGCGUGGUAAUUUUUUCCACAACAAUUAAAUGGUUCUGUGAUUCGGAUAGACAGCUGACACCCAGAACCGGAGGACCGCGAGCAGCUCCCCGCCAGACCCAGGGCCCAUCUGAAAGGAACUGCUGGCUAAGAUCCCCCCACUCCUUGUGGGCUGAUCAUGCUGACCAGGUUGGGUACAUUGGGUCCGCCCAACCAGGUAAAGUUCUCCUAAACCCAGCAAGACCCCUUCCCAAGGUGCAGCAGUACCCUCUCUGAAAACAGGCUGAGGAAGGAAUUUGACCAGUAAUCCCCUCCUUCAUAUAGCGAAAAGCCAUAAUUCCUACGGUCCGUGAGUGUAACUCCCCCAUUUCACUGUGCUGUUAAUGCUGCUGUUCUCCCUACCUUUCCCGUUGUCUCUAGCCCUGCUACUAUCCUUUCCUACAAUGCACCGGUGCUGAGGGGUUGUUACCGCCUCAAAUAAGGGAAAGGUUGUAUUAAGUCUGGACAUAAAGGAUUAAGGUUAUUGUUAAAUAAGAUGCAUCUGGAUAUGAGGAAUGAAUGUGUGUGUAUGUAAAUAGGUGUGUAUGAAUGAAUAAAAGGGGGGUCAGCCGAAUCUUGUAACCCAGUGGAUAGGAACUUUUCCUUAUUUAUGAGCCACUGACCCCAGUGGACCCUUUCCCGGGAAGGUGAGAGAGUAAGAAUUUUCUUUAGCUUAUGAGCCGCAAGCAGACAGGGCAUGUGUGAUUGGAAGAUGCAUGGGGGACAGUCUGAAAGUUCCCCCCUCACCACGGGAGGGCACCCCUGCAUAUUACAUGUGCGUUCUGUCCAAGUGGCAAGACUCACGGGGGAUAAUUCGGGUGACCCUUGCGAGUGAUAUUGUUAAGGAAAGGGACCAGGAGGGGUAGGGGUUAGUCGAAAAGCCCACCCUCAUUGCUAAAUUGGUAGUCAAACAAUGCCUGUGCCCAUGGAAAGGAAUAAUACAGCAAGGAAAAAAGGAUCGGGCCCAGACAAGCAGGCAACCACAGUUAGAGGAAGUAAAAAGAAAGAAAGUGAGAGGUUAAUUUUCUAGUUACUGGAGGAAAUUAAGCAGUGAAACUUUGUACAAAUGUUAAAAGACGGUGUUAUGAAAAGAAAAUUCUUGGUUUCUUUGCAGCCAUUCCUUUUGGGAAUGUCUGUAGAUAAUCCAGGCAAGAGGCUAUUUAAGUGGAAUCAUUUAACUAUGAACAAGUUAGUCAAAUUUGCUAAAAAACACUCCUGGUGUAUACAAUCUUUGUUUUAUAAGUUUAAGAUGAAUUGGUGUUGUUUUAAAACUGUAAAACUGAAAAAUACUUUUGCCAGACAAAAGAAACUAGUGUUGUUUAAUUUUGGUAUUUAGCAUUUAAUCCUUAAGGUGACUUAAUGCUUUACAAGAUUUAAAAUGUUUUUAAAUAAAGACCAAAGUUGUGCUGCAGCAGGGCAGUCAAAGCCAGGAAAAUGGGAAAAGAUUUUAAAUCUGUUUUGGUAACAAAUAGCAGAUAAAAGCUGUAGUCAGUGCCCCACACUAAGUCUUAAGGUGGCUCUGGGUAAUCAAUGGUCACUUUGCCAAAGGGGAGCCAAAAUGGGUUGUGCUUUCCUUUUCAAAUCAAUGUGUGUUUAAAAGCAGGAGUUAGAAGUUAAUUGUGUCCUUUUGAGACAAAGUCUCUAAGCAGCUGAUCACUUUGAAUCCAAAAGCAAGCCGAGAAUGUCUGUGUUAAUGCAAAUCACCUACAUAAUAAAGAUAGAAAGCCAUUGAAACUUGACCUGCCUAUAAAACAAAUACAGGAAAAUAUGGGGAGUAAUUCCUCAGUUUUGCCUGCAAUCAGCAAGGGUAUUUGUAAAGAAAGGAAUAUUUUAAGCAAUACUGCCAACAGUGUGUAAUCUGCCAGCAACAUAGUGUUGGUAAAGCUGUCAAGGAUAGGCAGGCAGCACAUCACCCUUCCUGGGGACCUUUUGUAAAUAUUCAGAUUGAUUUUAUUUAAAUGUCUAAAUGUUGUAAUUAUAAGUGUGUUAGUUUUAGUUAAUGUAUUUUCCAACUGGGUUGAGGCCUUUCCCUGUAAAAAGGCAGAUGCCAAAACUGUUGUAAAGCUUUGUUACAGGAUUUUGUACCACGAUUUGGCAAACCUGUGAGUAGCAACAGUGAUAGUGGACCUAAGGUUAUUGGACAAAUUAUAACAACUUAUGUGCAGCUUUACAGAUCCAACACAAUCUCCAAUGCCCCCACCACCUGCAGUCUGCCGGGACAGUGAAACAUCAAAAUGGGAUUUUGAAAAAUAAACUGGCCAAGAUCUGUGCUAAAACGAAUUUAAAGUGGCCAAAUGCCCUCCCAUUAGCAUUAAUGAAUAUGACAGCCACUCCCAAUCGAAAGACUGGACUCAGCCCUCAUGAAAUUCUAACAGGGCUCCCGAUGCGACUACUGGCUGCGCCCCCACUGGCCCUGGCUCAGAGGGACAUUCAUUUAAUGGAUGACACAAUGCUUGAUUAUCGCCAGGCACUAAUGAAAUGUGUCAGGUCUCUUUAUACACAGGUAAAAGAAGCACUAUCCAAGAAUCCUGAGCAACCCUGCCACUUGCUGGGACCAAAAGACUGGGUCUAUAUAAAGGUCCAUCAGUGAAAGACCACCCUGGUCCCGUGCUGGAGAGGCCCUUACCAAAUCCUGUUAAUUACCAACACAGCUGUGGGGUGCCAGGGACUGACUGCCAUCCCUCCACCUUGGGAUGAUCCUCUGACUGAUGCUGCUGUUCCUUUUGGACAGCAGGAGAAAAGAACAAGGUGAAGUGCUAGUAACCUCUCCCUUAUCCACUGACAGAGCUACUGUGCAUUUGGACUUUGCUAGAAGAACCAAACCAUUACAGGGUGAUGUGCUAGUAACCUCUCCCCUGCCUAAAGCUAAACCACGGCUGUUCCAAGAAAGAAGAAGUAACACUCGCCCUGCUGAAACCACCAAAGUCCAGGGAUUCCUGACUACAAAAGACAUUAAGAAUUGGCCCUGGUGGAAAAGACAAAGUAUUGUUAAUUGGCAGGGAGGGAAUUGUGGGGAUCGCACUUGGAAAUGUGGAGUUGAGUGGUGGGGUGGGUUUUUUCUGGGGGCUGGGCUCUGUGCUUACUGACAAGUACCCUCCCUAACUGGCUUCCAGAGGAUGAAUACCAAAAACACCUUGCUACCAUAGACAUUACUCCCACCAUUCCCUCCACCUCUGUCACCACCCCUAAAAUUUACCCGAAUACAGAUAAUACUGUAUAUUCUAAUGAAACCCAAUGGCCCAGGCCUUCACAUCUUAGUGAUUUACUAAAAUUUUGUUAAAAAAAAUAUUUUUUUAAAGUUCAGAAUAGUUCAUAUGAGCGAACAAUUGAGUAGAAAACAAAUGGGUCGGUGAAAAUAGAAAUAGAUAAUAUUACUACAAAUGAGCCCCAGGAACCAAAAAUUGAGAUUAAUGGGUUCUUUGAUGGGGUAAAUAUGAUGGCCACUCCUGAAUGCCGCAGUGUAUUGGAUGAAGUAGGCCCUUACUGUUAUUUGAUCAUCUAACUAGUAAAUAAUCAAACGUAUACUCAAAGAGCUUGCUCUGCCAUGGAAAAAUAUAUCUGUAUUAAAAUUAUUCCAGAAACUGAUAAUUUAACCUGCACCAUAUUGCAACAUACCCCUUCCUAUGCACUCGAUGCUGCUGCCUCCCAGAAGCAUUUGCAAGUAACUAACCAAGAAUUGUGGUACAGCCCUUCACAGAGAAAGGACGGGUUAAAAUGUCAAUGGACCGUGAUUAAUGGUAUACUAGGAACUGUCACAUUCACACUGCCCUUAUCCAGUUUUCAAGUCACCUCUAUAUAUCCAAAUUGCUCAAAAGGGGCUGCUAUUAGGUUAGCUCCGCAAAGGGCCUGGGUUGCCUCUAGGGAAAAAAAAAAGAGGGACCUGGCCGGACGCUUAUGGGAUGAAGCCAAUAGCAUGGCUGCGGUUUGGAACAUUUAUAAAGGCCAGCAGCAUGAAGAAAAACUGGGACAAUUGAAAAAGGCCACAGGUCUUAUUACUGGAGCACAGUUAACUCACGUGCAGGCUGGAGUUGGUGAAUUAUGUGUUAUUUCUGCCCUUAGUUCAAUAACCCAGAAACUGCUGACAACAAUAGUUCUAAAUAUCACUGAGGCUGGGAAGCCAUUGCAGUGGGAUCUGGCAUGUUUAGAAAUUCGGAUUUCCUGAAUGACCAGCUGAUGGCCAUUUGGAGUGAUCUUGAGCAUCAAACUUGGCCCACUGCCUUUACAAAUACUUCAGAAGUAUCAUCUAAUCUAUGGCCCUGGAGACAUACUUGGAAACUUUCUGGGUGGAAGCGAAGACAUUCGCAAUGCUCCUUCCAGGCAUACUGACCCGUUGGAGGGGUGUGGGCUCCCACAUACCGAAUCCUGCCGGGUCCAUGGGGAGGAUGCAUGUGGGAUUGGAUAAUUCACCAAGACAUUUGGAAAAUUAAAUUACCUGGUAUGCCUAAUCAAUUCAUAGUCAGUGCUCCUGGAAUAACACCCAACGUUUGGAUAGGGAUAGGAAGUCAAUGGACACUCUGGCCGUUAGAACCCCCACAGCUCCAGUGUGUAUGCAAACUGAAGUCCGGGGAAGUUGUCACAGUACAUGACAAUGUUUGUUGGGAGAGUAAGGGACAAGGAACUACCCUGACAGGACACCUGCUUUUCCAAUCGAACAAUAGCUGUGUGUAUGUUAAGGCCACCACUUUGCAAGACAUACAUUUCAAUCUCACCACCGCUGCAGGCAAUAUUAUUUAUUGGCCUGCGGAUAAAAUUUUACAAUCAGCGCUUAAGUUUCAGAUACCCUUUAAUUGGACUGCCUUAGUACCUGAUCGAUUCCAAAAUUUGCUUUCACUCGUGCCAAAGGGCUAGAAUAUCUCUGAAUUACAAAAGCAAUUCAUAUACUUCAAAAUAUAUAUCAAAUAAAAAAAUGAUUUUCAAACAGCCUAUAGAGUGUCUACUUUAUGUACUAAGUAUGAUGUAUUGUGUUCUGUGACUAAGGCUAUACAACAACCCCAUCAUAUUGUUACAAUGGGAAUGUUAAUGCUUUUAGUGUUGUUGUUUAGUUUAGAAUUAUGUUAUUGUUGUUGUAAAGGAUGUAAUAAUACUAGCACCUUCCAUAUUCAUCCUAACCAUGCAUUGUCGUUGCAUUCAACUAAAACCCCAAAGGCUGAGCCAUCUGAUUUAAAACCAAAAAUACAAGGUUUAAUAAAAAUGAAGGUUUAAGACUAAUAGUUAUGCUAAAAGCACAAAAGGGGGGGUAUUAGGGAAAACUGAGUAGGCCCAAACUUUGACCAAGAUAACUUUGAUUAAAAUAACUGUGUACAAGGGGCAGGAGAAGAGAGAGAAUCGAAAAUUUAAGCAGAACAAUUUCUAAUAGUCAGUCUUAUGAAAUAUAGUUGUGACUGCUAGUGUUAGGAAAGCAUUAACCGCAAAUGAACAAACUGUGAAUAACAGGAAAAAGCUUGUUUUGAUGUAUUCCUAAUAAGGAAAAUGUUAAUAAGGAAGUGUGUGUAAUUGAUUGUGGUUUUAAGCUAUAUAAGCUUUUGUAUUCCCUUUCGGAGGGGGUCGGCAGCUUGGCUGUCAUUCCCGUGCAUGCUUGUAAUAAAGUGGUCCUCAGGCUGUUCUGAUCCAAA